GUAACACGUAGUCAACCUGCCCUGGAGACAUGGACAACCCCGGGAAACUGGGAUUAAUCCGUGAUAGGUCAUCUCAUCUGGAAGGAGAGAUGGCUUAAAGGGGUACGCGGGCUUCUUCUGCGUAUCUGCUCCAGGAUGGGACUGCGUCCGAUCAGGCUGUUGGCGGGGUAAUGGCCCACCAAACCUGUAACCGGUACGGGCCUUGAGAGAGGUGGCCCGGAGAUGGACACUGAGAGAAGGGUCCAGGUCCUACGGGGCGCAGCAGGCGCGAAACCUUCGCAAUGCGCGAAAGCGUGACGAGGUUAAUCCGAGUGGCCCCCGCUGAGGGGGUCUUUUGUCAGCUGUAAAUAGGCAGGCGAAUAAGGGGAGGGCAAGCCUGGUGUCAGCCGCCGCGGUAAUACCAGCUCCUCGAGUGGUCGGGGCGAUUAUUGGGCCUAAAGCAUCCGUAGCCGGUUCCGUAGGUCCUCUGUUAAAUCCAGCCGCUUAACGGUUGACAUGCAGAGGAUACCGCGGGACU
rnacentral:rRNA from 1 species